CUCUCUCCUCCAAAAUGGUAUCAAAAAUCCAUCACCUUCAUGAAGACUCUCCUGCAUGAUCCAGUCAGAGUAGAACAGAGUUGGCAGACAUGUUUCUGCCUGGUGGUGGGAAUGAUGGUGAUGAUGUUGAUAUUGAGGAUUAAAAUGAUGAUGAUGGAGGUCUGAGAUUUAGCAGAUUGAUGGACCUGAACUAUGGUACACUGAGACCAUUUCUGAAGCUGGUGUGCCUCGUUUUAGCCUGAUUCAAUUGUUCUGUCUUCCAUCCCCUAGGAAGGUAAAAAUUACAAAGAUGAGCUGCAGGGAUCCUAGGGGCUUCUGUCCUGUCCUUGAGAAGCCCAGCACCUUGAGCUCAUUUCUAGGAUCUCUUUCCCCUGUCUGACUGAGUCUAUCACUUCUAGAUCCAAGCAACACAAAAAUCACAAAGAAAUCACCCUCACCACAGCUGAGCAGUUUUUCCUUGUCUUUGAAGGACUUGCCCUCCUGAGUCAGUUCACCGUGUACCAAAGACCCUUCGUUAACUUCCAGAAUCCUUGCUGAAGAGCAGAAGAAACAUCCAGUGACAGGUUUGGCUUAUCUCAGG